UUAUGUUGAGUCAAUCUUCAUAUACCCUAUAACUUGAUCAUGACUUAUAAUUAGUAUACAAUAUAAGGUAAUUCUAACAAAAUUGACUUACAAUGCCCAACAAUAUAGACAAUUUAGGAAAUAUCCAAUAUCAUAACCAGGGGCAAUAAGACAAACACACCUAUUGUUUUAGCUUAACAUAUUUCAUCUUAGGCAUUCUUAGUAAUCUUGAUAUCAUGAAACAUCCAAGUGCCCCAAGAUUCUUAUUUUCGAAAUGUAGAAAUAAACAUUCUUUUAGCUACCAAAUUUCAUUCUAAUCAUUCAUAGUAAUGACGAUAUCAUCAAUGUAGACAAGCGAGGUACAAAACUUGACAAGUGAGUUACAAGAUUUCACUUUCUCAACUUAUAAAUGACCGAAAGUUAAUAAUUCUAUCCCUUCCAUUGUAGCAAUAAAUCAUUCAUUCAUAAAUACCGUCUAGAUUAACUCACUUGUAUUUCUAAAUUAGUUGUGUUCUAAUUAAUUGCCUAUUCAUGUACUCUAUUUAUACCUGAGGAAUCUUUGUAUUCUCCCAAUUAUUUUCCUAUUUUAAGAUAUAAAUGUAACACCAAUUUAGUCUUUCCUUCUCCUUCUACUCUCAUGGGCGACAUAAACAUAACGUAUUUGCAGCCAUUGGUGUUGCUAAGAUGUGGAGGUUUGAUGUGGUUGCCAAUACUCACCGUCCAUAAUAUCACUUUUGCAUUAUCCACGAUCAAUGACAUGGACAUAGAACACAAACAAGAAAAUAGAACACAAAGAAUUAUGUGAUUCGACCGAUAAAGAUUAUCGACCUACGUUCGCAAGGGCAACAAAAAAAAUUCUUAUUUCUACAAUAUAAAGAGGCACACUUUACAAGUACAAGAGAUGGCAUUUAUAGACUAAAGUUUAAGGUUAAUCGCGAUUGGGCCCAAACUCCAAUAAGCCCAUUAGGGUCAAUUACCCCUAAAGAAGUCUACACUUAAGAAUGGAUUCAUCAAUGGCUUUAAAGUGUAUUUAUUUUAUACUAGCUAGUGUCAGUGUACUAGCCUGCUCCAAUUGGACUGUCUUCGUCCUUGUCAUCGUUUAUCAUACCUUCUUAAGAUUACUCACUAGUCUAUAGAAUGUUCGUACAACAAUAUGACAACACUUGGUAUAUGGACUUCGGUGUUCCAUUCUUACCUUAACACCUUUUAUUCUAGUACAUUGUCUCGUAUAUCUUGCUCCACUUGGCUCAAGGGGAUAUAGCUCAAUUGGUAUAGCUCCUUGCUUUUUCAGGAUAAAAAAGGGUUGAGAAAAUGCCUCGAGCUAAUGUUUGAGCGCCAGGCGCUGAAGUAACCACACCAUACUUAUAGGAGAAGUUCGAAAAAAGGGAUAGUGCAAUAGAAGUCUCGAGAAUUCAAGAGAAGGUCACGGAGAUGGGAGCCGUUUAUCAUUACAAUAGGUGUCAAGUGGAAGUGCAUUAAUGUAUGCAAGAAUGAAUACACCAAAAUAAGUUGAAUAGAGUUCCCCAGAGAAUGAACUAUAGGAAGGCAAUCGGAAUGACUAAACUAUAGGAAGGCAAUCGGAAUGACUAUGAGAAAAUAGGCUAAAGUAGUAAAAAUAAAUGAAUGUUAGACACAAGAAAGAAGCUAUCGAAUCUCAUUUAAGUUGGGCCAACCUAUCCAUACACUACUAAUUCUUCUUCUGCUUAUAAAAAUCAAAAGGUGAUCACUCACACUCGGCUAGAUAAGAAACUAAAAAAAUGAUAAACCUUACGGGUUGACGCCACAAAUUCGUGAUUGUCUGAUAAUGGGCAGGAAUACCCUCUUUUUGCUAAACAUGAUGUGAUGAACUGAUAAUCCAAUAUAUACUUUUUAUGAAUGUCAACUAAGUAUGCAACACUGUCUCAUUUGUCUUGUUCUUCUCAUCUUGUCAUCUGUGAUGGCACACUACCCAUCAUAUGUUCUCCAAGCUUAUAAAAUGUCCCAAACUUGCAAAUUUUGUUUUCGUCCUUAAAUCGACAACCGACAAUGAAUUCCAUAAAACUUGACCCUGUUAGUUUAUUAAGGAUCCCCAAAACACACAAUCUUCUUCGCAGCAAUAGCUUUGAUGAUUUGUACCCACUUUGACUACAUUUCUCACCAUGUGCCAUCCUCGUCCAGCCUUACACGAUUACUAUAUGGUUCCGUCUCUUUGGUUGCCCAAAUUAUUUAACUUGGCAUUAUCAUAUUCUCUAUUUAAAAGAUUGACACCAAAAUUUGUCAUGCAUGUCAACUCGAAGAGUAUGUUACUCAUUUUCUCCUUUUUUUUCCCACUCGGUAUCGAUUGACAUAAUACAAUGUAAUCUACGGACAUUCCCCCUAAUAUGUGUGCUUUAAAUAUGAUCAUGUUUGCUUGGGUAAUCACAAGCACACAUUACAUGGGACAUUUUUAACAAAAUCAAAUUUGAAAUUACAAAUGCACAUUACAUUGGACAUUUAUUAACAAAAUCAAAUUUGAAACCUUUCAAGACUUCGUAAAUUCUCAUUCUUAAAUUGACUUACAUUCACUUCUCUCUCUCUUUCAUACAACGUGACAAUAAUAAAGAAUGCAAAAAUAUUGCUUGAGAUUUCUUAUUAACACAUAUCUGCCUUCGUUUCUAUGACUCUUGCACAUUGCAACAAAAUGGCAAUGCCAAAUGCAUCUCCACACCAUUAAUAACAUUAUGUGCAUUUUACUCUUUCAAGUCAGCCUUUCCUUUCUUUUUGGGUUAAAGCUUUACACAUAGCCACAACCCUAAAUAGACUCCAUAUCAUUCACAACGAAAUCCCUCAUUAAUCUUUGUGUAGCUCACUGCUAGACUAUUCGCAUAUACAUGUUUUCACUUGUUAUCUUGUCCAUAUCUAGCCACAAACUAGCACCACAUUCCACCAAAUGAACUUUUCUUGUUUAUCCAACCAAUCACAAAGGUUAUUGUUACCUCAAAUUUGUCUUUAAAAUGUAUCAUCUUUAGGCAUAUUUUUAUGAAGAUUAUUUGUUUGAUAUGCUACUCACUAUCUCAGUAGUUGUCCUCUGAUAGGUUCCUCUGAUAGGUUCCUUGACUAUCAUAUCAGCCAUACAGAAAAAUAUUCUUAUCAUCGACUUCGUUGGCUGGUUUGGCCACUUUUGACAAUGGCAUUAACCAUCUCGUAUGCUCAAAUUGCAUGGAAGCCAAGCACUGGCAAGCAUACCGUGACCUCUACCAAUGCAAUACCUACAUUGCUUCAUGCUUUGCUCAAUAAGAAAGUUAUGUUCUGGUACCCGUUCAUUAUGUAGAUUUAUCUCUGAUGGAUAUGCACUAGACUUUCUUCUUCGGUCGAUAACUGUCCGUACACCUCGACAAUGACUUUGGCUUCCAUGGUCAAUGCUGCACUUGUUGGCAUGUUCUACUAACUGAUGGGACACGUCCACCCCAACAAUGAGACAUCAACUAAUGCAAACUCGAGAGAAGGAAGACAUUUAAGUUCCCUAGGAUUUCCCCGCCUAUAUAGCCUUAACAACCAAUUCUCUUUUAUAUGCCCAACAACUGACACGACCGGCCACUUGGCCUCGCAUGCUGUGAAAGCCAGGAUAGCCAUCCCUUGUGCGCAACAAGCUUGAGGAUUGCUGAUAAUGAGAGAUAUAUGCAGGACACAUAACUAUACGAGAUAUAGGUAUAUGGACAAGGGUUCACACACAUGGAAUAGAUUAUGGCCAAAACUUGGGGCAAAUUUGUCAACCCGUGAGAACACUCCCCCACCUCACGCUACAACACCAUCGAGCAUAUUCCCUCCCUAAAAAUUUACAAUAGAGUUGCAUACACAAGGGCAGUAUCACGGGCCUUUUGAGUAUGUGAGAUUAUAUAGUACCAAAUUUCCUUUAACCUAUUUAAGAACCUACAAAUGUCACUGAUUGUUGGGCCCAUGGAAUCCCGUCAGGACAUAAUCAUGGAAAUAUCCUCAUCCCAUGCUUUAAUUGUUGGAUCAUUUUUUAUGGUCCAAGUAGGUGAUUAGGUAUGUGUAUUCAAUUUGGGACUAUUUGACAUAGUUCUUCCCACUAAACCUGUUGAAUGCCCGGAUAUUUUGCAUUUCCCCAAAUUUUUGAACAAAAUUAAAUUCUUUGAAAGGGUUGGAAUUAAUAAAGAUGGGAGAUUUUUGACAUUGACUUGGUGAAGAAGAGAAAUUCACCGCCUUUAAGAGUUGAACAAAAACACAACAAUGAAGGUUGUUUGAAGAAGACCAUAAAACCUUUAAAAAAUUCUUAGGGUUGUAUUCUUUUGUGGAUUUUACCCAAUUUUUACUAUUCAGAUUUUUUUUUCCUCAAAAAUAUUAAAUCAAACAAUUACUUCUCUUUUAUUUAUAUUAUACUACAAAUUUAUAGUAUAAUAUAUUACAUCAACUUAUAUUUAUAUUACAUUAAACAACUAUUCAAAUUCAACAUUUUACUAUUAAAAAAUCCAAACCCACAAUUAUUUUAAUUGAUAAUACACAAUGUAAAAUAGAAAAUUUUAAGGAAAAAAAAAACAAUUUAAGGGAAAAAAAAACUAUUUAAGGGACUACAUAAUGAUUCUAUUAACAUAAUUACAGAGCUAUUUACAGCACAAUUAUUCCUUGACAUAGUUCACUAAGCAUUAUUCUAGUAUUUCCUUAACCAUUGUCACUUGUUCGAAUAAUAGUUAGGUGUGUUAGAUGUCAGAAAUGCAAAUAGUUCACGAAGCACUAUUUAGUAUUUCCUUGACCAUUGUCACUUGUUCGAAUAAUAGUUAGGUGUGUUAGAUGUCAUAAAUGCAAAUAGGGUAAGUCCCAUAUUACUUGUCUGAAUUGGAGAAAUUUUUAUUUUUCAUAAUUUAAAUCCUCAAUAUGGAAGAUGUGACUUUCUGUGUGGUUUCCUUGACCUUUGUCAUUGAUACCUAGUAAGCGAAUGAGGUAGACGUCAACAAUGCAAAUAGGAUAAGUCCUAAGAUAAUCAUCCAAAUUGAAGACGGUCUUUAUCUUUUCUUAGCUUAAGUCGUUGAUUAAGGAAGCAUGACUUCAAAAAUUGAGGUUUCCUUGAGCCUCGUCACCUGAUUGAAUAGACAAAUGCAAUUGAAGAUGUCACAAAAGUAAAUUGGGUAAAUCCCAUAAUAUCUUGAUCUUUACACCAAUUUAUAGGCAAAUAAGGUAGAAAACCGAAAUGCAAAUAGGGUAAAACCCAUGACAAUUGUCCAAAUUGAAGACAAUCUUGAUUUUUGCACAACAUAGUGCUCAAUUUAGGUGUCCGUGGUUGAUUUUAUGCCUAUAGAGGAAAAUAGCUUACUCCUACAUAUUGUUAGAUAGGUUGAGGAAAAUGGACUAUAGGAAGAUCCGAUUGAGCUACCCUAACGUAGAGUUUUAAUCUUGAUUCGAAAAUCCAUAAUUAUAAGGUAGAAAGUUCCCUCAAUAGCAUAAUGAUUGAUCCCCAAACAUUCUAAUUCUUGAAAGUGGCCACUAAACCGUCAUGAUCCCAAAACGAGCAACAAAGAAUUCCAUGGUUAUGUACUUAUCUAGAGCAUAAUUUUGAUAUGAGAUUUAACCAACGAUUGUAGCACUUAAUUUGCUAAUGUUCACAGAAUGUGUAUAUUCUCCAAUCACAAUUUGGAUAGAGGCGCACAUUGAUUCCCAUUAAAGGGUAAGGUAAAAGUGUUGGUAGAAGCCAUCCAUUCUCCGAGAGAAGUCAUACUGGACUAGACUUAAAAGGUUUGGAUGCUAGUCAAAGUAUCUUAAACAUCAGUAAAUUGGAAGAACAAAUUUACUACUACAUAAAAACCACAUUGUUUGGUCUUGUUUGGUUAUAAAAGAGAUUCAACGAAUCUGUCAUUGUUUGAAGAAGUUUGAUAAGGGACUAAGAAUGAGAGCCUAUCCUCAAGGGUAGUUCGCUGUGAAGUAUCCACCAAGAAAGAUGAUGACCGUGUUAGUCAAUGGUGAAAGUUGUUGUAGAGUUUGAUAGGCGAAGAGGAAAUGAGUGUUAGCCAAUAGUGAAAGUUGUUGGAGAGUUUGAUAGGCGAAGAGGAAAUGAGAACGCAUUGUUAAAGAAAGCAUUGCAUGAAGGGUCAACCCAUGGAAGUGACACAACUGAUUGUUGACGUGUGUAGAGGUUUCUCCACAUCGCAACAAGCUUCUUAAGGACUUAGUAAAUUGGGUUUUAAGUUUGAUUUAGGGGCUUCUUAACAAUUAAAUUGAUUUCAAAGGGUAGGAAAUUUGUGGUGCAACAGCAUCCAACCAAGGAUUCUUUAACUUACUUUUUUAUCUACACUUUAUCAAGGUACCUAAGAUCUACACAUAACAAGAAACAUCUCAAUGAUCAAAUUAUUUGAUCAUUUUGUUUCACAUAAUUAUUGCAAGAAAUAUUUGACUUAGUACCAAAGUCAAUUUAUAAGAGCUCCGUGUGCCUUGUAGCCAUCUCAUAAACAUGCAUGUUUUCAAAUUUCAGUAAGAGAUCUUUAUUAAUAUGCCGAUGAGAUCUAAGAAUAGUUUCUAUUGCAUCAAAUGGCAAAAUAGUGUAUAGUGAUUUUAGCACUAACAUGACAUCAGAUGGCAAAAAUAAUGGAUAGUGACUUCUUGUAAAAGUUCUAUUGCCUUGUGUUUGUUUGGAGGUUUGGAUUUUGAGUUGAGAUUUGAAUAGUAAAAAUUUUGAAUUUAAAUAGUUAUAUGAUGUGAUAUAAAUAGGUGUUGAUGUGAUGUUUUGAAUGUAAAAUUGAUUUUUAGUAUAAUAUAAAAAUGAAAAAUAGGUGUUUGAUUUGAUGUUUUUGGGUGAAAAAAAUGGGAUGAAUAGUGAAAAUUAAAUCCAAUCUCCCAAACAAACACACCCUUAAUAGUGAAUCACAUCAAACACAUUAUUUUCCGUAGUAUUUUCCUAUCAACAUGUACAAUUGUAUAGUAAGAACAAAAUUUCUAAAAUAAGAAUUAUUACAAACACUUAAUCUAGUAAUAAGGUAAUAAGAUCUUUUGAGUCUCUCGUUAUGUAGUUAAUCCGGUACUUAAUCCGGUAAUAAGAUCUUAUGAAUCACCGAGUCUCUAUGUAGCCCAAAGUUCAACUAUAGUAGCCUUUUUCUUGUCAAUGUUAACUCCCCCAUUUUCUCCAUCUAUUAGUAAUGUACAUGUACUUUAUUAACACGUGCUAAUGAAAGCAAUUCAAUUACAAAUUAAACUUGUUGGAAAUGUAUAGUUUCAAUUGGAAUGUUGUUCCUUUAGUUCUAUUUCAUGUAGCCCCAAGCCAACCAUUGUAUGAAAAAAUAUCUAAAAAAAAAAGAAAACCUUCGCAUUUUGAUAGAGCAGCCAUCUCAUGUACAAGCCAGGGACACUACACCUUUAUUCUUUGUGCAUUUUUUUUACAAGAUUCUACUAUUCAAUUUUUAUUUUUCAAAAAAAUUAAAAAUUAAUUUUACUUUUAAGAUAUCACAUUACUAUCUAUUUAUUUAUAUCACAUCAAAUAACGUUAUUCUAAUUCAAACUUUUACUAUUAAAAAAAUUCAAAUCCACAAAUGCUAUUUUCCAUGACAAGUAUAAUAAAUAGUCAAAUAACAAAAAACAUAUUUGAUUUCAACACAUAUUUGAUUUCAACUAUAUAUUAAACACCCUCUCAUGAACAAGCAAACUUUUCUCUACGGGAAAAGAAGGCCAAUGUUAUUUGGAGACAAGAAUUUUAUCAACACCAAAUUCUUCCAUAGUUUGGUUGCAACUUCCCAAGCCUCAAACAAAAAUUUCGCUUAUUAAAUGGGUCAUAGGUUAAUUCAUUUUGAGAUGCCAAAAUAGGAAUGAUUUUGUAUUUUUUAGUGUAUUUUUUGAGUUUCAAAGUCCAAUGGUUAUCUCUGGUUCGGUUAAGAAUCAAGUGGAUUCUUCCGAAGAACCGGAAGCGAAGCGCUAUGCUGGGGCGGGGGGACGGGAAAAGAAAGGGCUCCGAGAUCCCCGAGACAAGUUUGUAGCCUCUUGUUCGGCCUUUUUCCAUUGAGAGAGAUUAAAAAGGCUCGUUUUAUGUUUUGGAGACAACCAUUGAAAUAGGUAAAAGUUAAUUUGGACUUCUUUGAAGCCUUUACGGAGACCUUUAAAGAAUGAUGCCAUUCAAUUUUUUGAGAUUUUUAAAUUUAGACUACUUUAUACCCCAUGGAGUGGGCGAUUUGUUUUUCGUCCUAAUAAUAGUAAGAUCUCAUGCCCAAAAAAUGCAUAAUUCUUUCAUCCAAUAUCCGUAAUUGACACAUAUUUAACUCUUAGCCUAGACGCUUUCCAGAUGUUCUUAGUUUUAUUAUUAGCCCCAUAUAGAUUGGUCACACAUCAUAUGCAUUGGAUAGUGCACUUAUUGCUAAUAAAGUUGUGAACAACCUUAAGCAUAGUAAAAACAAGGGUUUUAUUGCCUUUCAGAUGCUCUUAGCUUUAUUAGUAGCCCCCUCUAGAUUGGUCACAUAUCAUAUGCAUUGGGUGGAGCACUUAUUGCUAAUAAAGUUGUGAACAAUCUUAAGCAUAGUAAAAGCAAGGGUUUUAUUCUUAAGUUGGGCAUUGGAAAAGCUUUUGAUAUGUAAUGGGAUGCCUUAUUUCUCGUCCUGAGCAAAAUGGGUUUCCAAGAUAGGGUUUACUCAUCUUAUAUGCAACUUCAUUUGUGUGAAUCAAAUGUGUAGAAAGAUGUUACUCACCAGCCAAAACUUAAUUUGUCUAAAAAUGAAGUUUCGUGGCCUUAGGAUGAUUUUCCUUGAGUCCUUGAAUAAAGAACUUAUAAAGUGGGCCGGGUGUUUCCAAGAUAACUCAACCCUCUAAAAGGCCAUUUUAAACAUGACAUCUUUGCCAAUUCAACUCGGCCUUACCUUUUCUUGGAUGUUUCAUGCUCUAGUCUUAUAUUUAGAUUCAUUUCAUUUAUGAGAUAACCCUUCAUUAGUUCUUAAACUCCUUGUUGCACCAAUCAUCUUAAUUCUAAAUUAGACACAUGGAUUAUAACUAUUAUCAUGUCAUUUUCUGCAAGCACCUGUGAGUGUCAAACCUAGAAUUAAAAUCAUUUAAGUACGGUAAUGAGUGAAAAACAGUCAUUUUCAAACACGGUUAAUUUUAAUGAUCAAAAUGAUAAGUGGGGCAAUUUGCGGACCAAAAUUUAUCUUUUUUCUAAUAAUAUAGAAUAGCUUGGAUAAAAGAAAUCCCUUUAAUUGCGGCCAACUUUAUUUCCAUUGGUUUUUAAGUUCUUUUGUUUCAUGGGUUAUGAGUCGUGCCAUGUCUUAAGUUCUACAAAAGUUAUAUAUCUACAUAUUGCAAACUAGUCUCAUUCUACAAUGGUAACACUCAGGCCCGCAAGUCACGCAAAGUCGGGCGUGCCGGGAUCGUAGACUAACUUCACAGGUCAACACGAGUCAUUUUAGCGUGCUUCUGUCUUCGCUGACGCACACUUGAUUUUAUAGUGUUUUUUUAGUAGAUCUACCGGAAAAAAAAUAUGCACAUUGUUGACAUGAUUCAAUCCAUUUAACCUUUAAUCAACUUUGGAUGGUCAAAUAUCGAUUCAUCCACAUAUGAUAGUUGGCCAAGCAAUGGCCCAACGCUAGGGGUAUCACAUCCUCCCCCACUUAGAAUGCAAGUGCCGCAUUGCGCUAAAAAAAUCGUCAACUACUAGGCCCGUCAACAGUCCGGUCAAGGACUAUGGACUAUCGAAGAUCGGCUCUAAUACCAAUUGUGACACCCCGGCUCGCAAUCCAUACAAAGUCGAGCGUGUUGGGAUCAUAAACUAGCCCCACAGGUCAACACGGGUUCUUUUAGCACACUUCUAACCUCACUUACGCGCAUUCUGAAAAACUUACCAGAGUAUCACUCAUGUUCAAAUUACUUUAAAGUAAGUACGCUUAACUUUAGAGUUCUUUCAGUAUAGCUCCCGAAAAAAAAUAUAUACAUUGUUGACAUGAGUAAUCUAUUCAAAAUUGUUAUAUUCAAGACGGCAUGUGUAUAUAUGAUGGCUUAAACGUAGAUCUUUCUAUUUGGUUAAGAUUGGUGUACGAUUUUUCCUUGAUGUUCUCCUACCUUACGAUGAUACUAUUGCUCAUGCAACCAGUCUAGAGUCACAAUAGAUAAGCCAUGCUAGUAUGAGCUGGUGAUUUUUGGCGAGAUGAAUUUGCUCUCAUGAAUAAUUUAUGACGACUUGUUUGCAAGGAUUAUCUGCGACCUCUUCCAAAUAUCAACUAUAAACAACAAUAGUGGCACGUACAAACAUAUAAUAUUGUAAAAGUACUACAAAUUAUAAUGCAUUAUAAAUAUUUUCAUUAGAUCAUAUAAACAUAAAUUAAAAUAUAUAAAAGUACCAGAAACUAAAGAACAAUACCAGAAACUAAAGAACACAAUAAACCAACUUUACACAUUCCAUAUAAAUAACUACUAUAAAUUUUACAAUUUGCUAAAGGUUCACAUAAAAAGCAAAGCUAUUUCCCCUCGCAUGGGAUUGUAACUUAAAUAGUUGAGCUACUCUCAUUAGACCCUAGAGGAUUGGGGUUCAGUCCACAAUUGGAUGCGAGUAGAAUAAUAAAUAUGACCUCUUAAAUGGGAGAGUACUUGAAAGAAUUGACCCAAGUUGGGUGACGGUAACUUGUGAUCAACAUAAAUAAUGAUUUUCUUUAUGAGUGACCCCAACUUUUGGAACUUUUGAUAUCAUUCAUUUACAGUAACUUUUUUUAAAAAUAAAACAUCAAAUACAUUAUUUCUCAUAAAAUAUUAUUCGGACACUAACUUUUUUACUAUUUUCAAAUUAAAGCCUAGUUUAUUGAGAUAUGAACAGCUAGGAUUGCAUUCUAUAAACAUGCAUGUAUAUAA